AACUUUUGAGAACGGAUCUCUUGGUUCCGGCAUCGAUGAAGAACGCAGCGAAAUGCGAUACGUAAUGUGAAUUGCAGAAUUCAGUGAAUCAUCGAGUCUUUGAACGCACAUUGCGCCCUCUGGUAUUCCGGAGGGCAUGCCUGUCCGAGCGUCAUUGCUGCCCUCAAGCACGGCUUGUGUGUUGGGCUCCGUCCUCCUUCCGGGGGACGGGCCCGAAAGGCAGCGGCGGCACCGCGGCCGGUCCUCAAGCGUAUGGGGCUUUGUCACCCGCUUUGUAGGACUGGCCGGCGCCUGCCGAUCAACCAAACUUUUUUCCAGGUUGACCUCGGAUCAGGUAGGGAUACCCGCUGAACUUAAGCAUAUCAAUAAGCGGAGGCU
rnacentral:misc_RNA from 1 species